rnacentral:rRNA from 1 species
UCGUAAGUGCGAUUGAUUUAGCGGCCGCCGUUCGCUCUUGUGCCAGCCGCCGCGAUAAUUCCAGCUCCAAUAGCGUAUAUUAAAGUUGUUGCGGUUAAAAAGCUCGCAGUUGAACCUUGGGCCUGGCUGGCCGGUCCGCCUCACCGCGUGCACUGGUCCGGCCGGGCCUUUCCCUCUGUGGAACCCCAUACCCUUCACUGGGCGUGGCGGGGAAACAGGACAUUUACUUUGAAAAAAUUAGAGUGCUCCAGGCAGGCCUAUGCUCGAAUACAUUAGCAUGGAAUAAUAAAAUAGGACGCGCGGUUCUAUUUUGUUGGUUUAUAGGACCGCCGUAAUGAUUAAUAGGGACAGUCGGGCGCAUCAGUAUUCAACUGUCAGAGGUGAAAUUCUUGGAUCAGUUGAAGACUAACUACUGCGAAAGCAUUUGCCAAGGAUGUUUUCAUUAAUCAGGAACGAAAGUUAGGGGAUCGAAGACGAUCAGAUACCGUCGUAGUCUUAACCAUAAACUAUGCCGACUAGGGGAGCGGACGGGGGUUAUUCAUGACCCGCUCCGCACUCUUACGAGAUAUCUUUGUGCUGUGCGCUUCUCGUGAGAGAGAGAAACAGUCUGAAACUAAAGAUUGGGGGAUGGGCCCGCGCGGGGGACGCAGUCUGCUUUUUUAUUGUGACUCAACACGAAGAACACUCCACACCGCCCAGAACAAAAUAAGAGAUGAGACAGAUUUGUAUUUUCUUUUUUUGUUUGUGGGGGGUGGUGACGGCAGCGCCGUUCUGAAGGUGGGGGGGGUGUUUUCUCUUCUUUGGUUGCAAAAAACAACCGAUAA